rnacentral:lncRNA from 1 species
GGACUUUAUGCUGCUGUUCCUCUCUGCAUAGGAAAUUGCAGUCUAUGCUGGAAUCACCAUGGAGACAACAUCACUUGCCAGAUGUCUUACUUGUAGGCACAUAUUGAAACUAGCGAGCAUUUCAGUUUUUUCUCUCGCCUCUCUCUGUUCUACAACAUACCUUUAAUCAGUACUAUUUGAUGUGAAUUGUUAUCUUUUUUUUUUACAUUUGGUCAAAUAUUUAUGUAAAUACAUGUUUAUAGUUUUUUUUUAAAUAGUUAUGGUGUAAAAGGUGAGCUGUAUAUAACUUGUUUACUUGCUAAGAAAUCAAGAGUUUUGUAGAAUUGAAAAACAGUGGUAUUCAAAAUGUGAAUAGAACCAUUUGACAAGAUUUAAACAGUUUGGAUUUUUUUAUAAAGAAAUGGUUAAGUGCUGUAUUCAGCUAUUUAAAUGACAAAGAACACUAACAGAUUUUGUUGUUUUUAGGCGGACUACAAUUCUAGUUAUCAGUACAAUUAUGGGGACUUAGGAGGAGAUAAUGUUGGUGUAGCCCGGGCUGAAGGGGACGCUCACAAGUCAGAUGGUGUAAAACUGAAAAAAGGAAUCCAGAGUAGUGCUACUAUUUCUGCAGGCCCUCGAGGAGUUACAGCUUCAAAUGUUCAGGCUAAUCUGGGCUCGGUUGUUGUUGAUGGUGUUAGCUAUGCUAAGUACCUACCUCCGGAUACUUCUACUUACCAGUAUGAUGAUACAUCGGGAUAUUACUAUGAUCCAAGUACGGGUCUUUAUUAUGAUGCUAACUCUCAGUACUACUAUAAUGCAGAAGCACAACAGUUUCUAUACUGGGAUGGAGAAAAA